UGCAAGUCGAGGGGCAGCAUUUUAGUUUGCUUGCAAACUAAAGAUGGCGACCGGCGCACGGGUGAGUAACACGUAUCCAACCUGCCGAUAACUCGGGGAUAGCCUUUCGAAAGAAAGAUUAAUAUCCGAUGGUAUAUUAAAACCGCAUGGUUUUACUAUUAAAGAAUUUCGGUUAUCGAUGGGGAUGCGUUCCAUUAGUUUGUUGGCGGGGUAACGGCCCACCAAGACUACGAUGGAUAGGGGUUCUGAGAGGAAGGUCCCCCACAUUGGAACUGAGACACGGUCCAAACUCCUACGGGAGGCAGCAGUGAGGAAUAUUGGUCAAUGGACGAGAGUCUGAACCAGCCAAGUAGCGUGAAGGAUGACUGCCCUAUGGGUUGUAAACUUCUUUUAUAUGGGAAUAAAGUAUUCCNACGUGUGGGAUUUUGUAUGUACCAUAUGAAUAAGGAUCGGCUAACUCCGUGCCAGCAGCCGCGGUAAUACGGAGGAUCCGAGCGUUAUCCGGAUUUAUUGGGUUUAAAGGGAGCGUAGGUGGAUUGUUAAGUCAGUUGUGAAAGUUUGCGGCUCAACCGUAAAAUUGCAGUUGAAACUGGCAGUCUUGAGUACAGUAGAGGUGGGCGGAAUUCGUGGUGUAGCGGUGAAAUGCUUAGAUAUCACGAAGAACUCCGAUUGCGAAGGCAGCUCACUAGACUGCAACUGACACUGAUGCUCGAAAGUGUGGGUAUCAAACAGGAUUAGAUACCCUGGUAGUCCACACAGUAAACGAUGAAUACUCGCUGUUUGCGAUAUACAGUAAGCGGCCAAGCGAAAGCAUUAAGUAUUCCACCUGGGGAGUACGCCGGCAACGGUGAAACUCAAAGGAAUUGACGGGGGCCCGCACAAGCGGAGGAACAUGUGGUUUAAUUCGAUGAUACGCGAGGAACCUUACCCGGGCUUAAAUUGCAUUUGAAUAAUCUGGAAACAGGUUAGCCGCAAGGCAAAUGUGAAGGUGCUGCAUGGUUGUCGUCAGCUCGUGCCGUGAGGUGUCGGCUUAAGUGCCAUAACGAGCGCAACCCUUAUCUUUAGUUACUAACAGGUCAUGCUGAGGACUCUAGAGAGACUGCCGUCGUAAGAUGUGAGGAAGGUGGGGAUGACGUCAAAUCAGCACGGCCCUUACGUCCGGGGCUACACACGUGUUACAAUGGGGGGUACAGAAGGCAGCUACCUGGCGACAGGAUGCUAAUCCCAAAAACCUCUCUCAGUUCGGAUCGAAGUCUGCAACCCGACUUCGUGAAGCUGGAUUCGCUAGUAAUCGCGCAUCAGCCAUGGCGCGGUGAAUACGUUCCCGGGCCUUGUACACACCGCCCGUCAAGCCAUGAAAGCCGGGGGUACCUGAAGUACGUAACCGCAAGGAG
rnacentral:rRNA from 1 species